rnacentral:rRNA from 1 species
UACGGAGGGUGCAAGCGUUAUCCGGAUUCACUGGGUUUAAAGGGUGCGUAGGCGGGCAGGUAAGUCAGAGGUGAAAUCUCCGAGCUUAACUCGGAAACUGCCUUUGAUACUAUCUGUCUUGAAUAUGGUGGAGGUAAGCGGAAUAUGUCAUGUAGCGGUGAAAUGCUUAGAGAUGACAUAGAACACCCCAUUGCGAAGGCAGCUUACUACGCCUAUAUUUGACGCUGAGGCACGAAAAGCGUGGGGGAUCAAACAGG